rnacentral:lncRNA from 1 species
UCCUGUGACUCCUCACUAGGACUACCCUGACCAAGGUUUUGCUAAAUUGAAACACGACUGUACAUAGCUCCUGAACUGGAGUGGUCAAUCCCAUCUUGACACACGCACCGACAAGUCAAGUACUUGACUACACCCAGCAGCCUUCCGUCACUGAAUUAGAAAUUCAGGUAGUCCAGUGCCUAAGUGCAGUGAGUUGCUUACAAGUCACCGUGGCGGUCU